GAAUCCAGCAGUGCCUCCGAAGCCCAAAUGACUUCAGAUCCCGUCUGCAGCAGAACAUUGUGGCAAGGAAGCCUGGUUUCUCUUCGCGUUGCUUGUCAGCCCACUGCUGUGAAAGUGCGUCCUUAUCUGAGUCACCGCUGCAUGGAAGCGGACUUGCUGCUCUCCAGAAACCAGGAACGCUGGCGGUGAGUCACCCCCACCAGGGAAAAUUGACCCCGGGACGUGCGGCUCCUCAGGCCUGCAGAAACCUCCUGCUGGCCACCAGGUGGGAGAAACUCUGGGCUUGGCCGGCUUUCACGCAUCCCAGGCAGCCUGGUUUAGACAUGGAUCCCACAGGUGACGCCCGUGAAGACUGAGAGGCUGCAGGAGUUUGUCUUCCUCCCGAACCACUGAGGGCCAGGACCUGCCACCUUCACACGUGUGGCCCUGGAACCAGGGGCACCAGCCACGGCCCCUGGCCACAUCCGGCCCACGGCCUUUUCCUAAACAGGCACAAGUUCAGAAUGGUUUUCACACUUUAAAGAAUGCUUUAUUUCUGUGUUAUAAGAGGGACAUGCACAGCCCAUCGUACGCAGGACCCAGCAUUUUUUAUUCUUUAUUUCCUGGCUUUCUUAUAGACUGUUCCCCUUCAUUCAACAUUGUCCCUGGUUUCCUCCAUCCAUAUUGGGAUGAGAGGAUUGUAGUUUUCUAAAAUGGAAUGUGCUGAUUCUGUUUGACUUUCUCACGAGUGGCCCAGAGACUCAUGUUUAAAAUAUUGAAAAAAAAAUAGCAUCUUGUGACACACAAAAAUUAUACCAAAUUCAAAUUUUGGUGUCCAGAAAUAGUUUCCUUCGAGCCCAGCCCCUCCACCUGUCACGUGCGGUGUUUGUGUGUGUGUGACACAGGGCUGCUCUCAUGCUGCGGCGGAGACUGUGUGGCCCAGGGAGCCCAGAACGCCCACUCUCGGGCCCACUAUGGAGCAAAGUGCCAGCCCCUGGCACAGAAUAUGACAGGGACGCUCACAUUCGCUGACACGCCCCAGGACGGGCUGCGCCCUGAGUCUUUCCUGUCUUGUUACGAUUGUGACUGACUUCUGCUACAUUAUUGGAUGUUUUCUUUUUUCUUUUUGAAAGUAAUACACGUUUGUUAGAACAAGUAAAAAAAAAAGUAAGAGGUCUGUGUGCUGAAAUCGUUUAUAAUGUCCCUCCUAACCUGCACUCCCCUGCUCAGAGUGACCCUGUUUCUAAUCUGAGGGGCGGCCUCCGUGGUGAAUCUUUGAGCAGAUGUACAGGGUGCUGUUACUGAUCUUUUUACGAAGAGUGAAAUACAUGUUACUCAGCAGCGUGUUUUAUUUCACUGAAUGAUGAACAUC
rnacentral:lncRNA from 13 species